CGAAUGCCAUAUUUUUGUCUUACGACUAUGCGACAUGAACAACAGCAUGUCGUUAAAGGACUUUGAUUUAAAGCAUUUUGGGAAGGAACCGUGAAGCAGUUACGAUAAGAAAAAUUAGCCGUAUUCUGAUUGACGACCAGGAGAACAGGCAUAAAGAAGAAAAUGUGUUAGAAAUAAUAAAAAAGAGGAAUGCAGAGAAUAUAUGGAAGGUGGCAACACAGACUUUAGCUGACUGUGUUAGACACACAAGCAGAGAGACAGAGCACCAUAAAAAAUGCUAAUGCUAUCCAUUAUAAGGACCUCUGCCAGUAUUUGAAUUCAUCGAGUGUGUCUAAAAAUAUCAUUGUUUGGAUGAUGUUAUUAUUUAUCAUCGGACUUAAUGCCAUUGUUUUUUGAAAAUCAAAUAAAAAUGCAUAAAAGUA